GACGAACGCUGGCGGCGUGCUUAACACAUGCAAGUCAAGGGGGCCCAGCAAUGGGCAACCGGCGAACGGGUGCGUAACACGUGAGCAACCUACCGAACUGUGGGGGAUAGCCGGCCUAACGGCCGAGUAAUACCGCAUACGCUCUCAGAGAGGCAUUUCUUCGAGAGGAAACCUACGGGACAGAUCGAGGGGCUCGCGGCCUAUCAGCUAGUUGGCGAGGUAACGGCUCACCAAGGCAACGACGGGUAGCUGGUCUGAGAGGAUGGCCAGCCACAUUGGGACUGAGAUACGGCCCAGACUCCUACGGGAGGCAGCAGUGGGGAAUCUUGCGCAAUGGCCUAACGGCUGACGCAGCGACGCCGCGUGUGGGAUGAAGCUCUUCGGAGU
rnacentral:rRNA from 1 species